rnacentral:tRNA from 3 species
GCCAACGUAGCUCAGGGGUAGAGCAGAGCUUUCGUAAAGCUCAGGUCAUCGGUUCGAAUCCGAUCGUUGGCU